GCGCGCUUAGCUCAGUUGGUUAGAGCGACUGAUUUACACUCAGUAGGCCGGGAGUUCAAAUCUCUCAGCGCGCACCG
rnacentral:tRNA from 1 species